UCAGAAAAUGUAAGAUAAGGGGAUUGAUAUAGGAUAAUAAUGUCUUAUCCUCGAAAUCCAAGUUGCCACCAAGAGGAUACAACUCCAUCAAAUCAAGCAGGGAGUGCACUUGCAAGUCAGGCUAGAAGGGUUGUAUUUCAUUAUGAUUGCAUCAUUCUCUUCUAGCUCUUUUUCUCGAUCUCUCUCAGUUUCUUCUAGGAUCUAUUCGUUAGUUUCUUCUUCUCAAUCAGGAUACUCUACCUUCUUCCAUCUACGUCUAGAUGUAGUUUGAGUCAUAUCUAGUGCAACCGGAAUUUCCACAGUGCCGAAAAUUGUAUACAUAUCAGCGGAUUUUAAGUAGUCCACCUCCUUUUUUAGCUUCACAAUUUCUUCUCGUAGGACUGCAACCUCUUUUGUGGCUCCUUGGCCGUGUUCGCGUUUCCAGAUUUUGAGCAAUGGAUUCAGCUGACUAUGUCAUCUAUUCUAGUUGGAUCAAUGAAGUAAUAAUCAUCGUUGUAUUAGAAGCACUGGACGAAAAAGAUCUAAUCUAUUACGCAACAACGGGAAUACCUGAUGAGUUAGAAAAAGAAAUAGUGGAGCUAGUUAAACUGGAGGCCUGAAAAUUUGAGUGUGUUUCGAUGCUUCUGUAGAUCUGGAUCCACUGGCAUGGGUACUGUUUUUCUUCUUCUCUACAGGGUCUUUUAGAUAUUUAACUUCUGUUUUCCCGAUAUAUGUGGAGGCAAUGGGAGUUGAUUCUAUAUCCUUCCUUCCAUCUAUAUAAACUUUGGCUUAUCUGCAUAACUCAGUAAUCAAUACUUGGAAAGGCAGAGAUAUUCUGCUUUCCUUUUCCCGCA